GGCAUUGUUUCACGCGUAAUUUUGUCUGGUUUCCUGACGUCACAAUGUAUCGAUGCAUAUCGACCUUAGGUAUAUGGGAUCCUCUACUAUUAGAUUUAUUUGAAUAGGCUUGGUACAACACAUUCAAAUUGUUUACUAAAGGAAUAAUCAAGAAGAAUUUAUAUAAAAUUUUGUUUAAAGAAUGCCACGCACAUAUCAACGUAAGACUGAUAGAGAAAGCUGGGAUCCAGUCCACAUGAAAAAUGCAUUGGAGGAAGUUAAAAAGGGAAUGCCUGUCAAAACUGCAGCACGGAUCUUUAACGUGCCAAGAAUGUCGCUUAAACGGCGUGCUACGGAUAAAAAUAAAGUUGCCAAAAAA
rnacentral:lncRNA from 1 species